rnacentral:rRNA from 1 species
UUGCACGCUGGCGGCAGGCCUAACACAUGCAAGUCGAGCGGAUGAAGGGAGCUUGCUCCUGGAUUCAGCGGCGGACGGGUGAGUAAUGCCUAGGAAUCUGCCUGGUAGUGGGGGAUAACGUCCGGAAACGGGCGCUAAUACCGCAUACGUCCUGAGGGAGAAAGUGGGGGAUCUUCGGACCUCACGCUAUCAGAUGAGCCUAGGUCGGAUUAGCUAGUUGGUGGGGUAAAGGCCUACCAAGGCGACGAUCCGUAACUGGUCUGAGAGGAUGACCAGUCACACUGGAACUGAGACACGGUCCAGACUCCUACGGGAGGCAGCAGUGGGGAAUAUUGGACAAUGGGCGAAAGCCUGAUCCAGCCAUGCCGCGUGUGUGAAGAAGGUCUUCGGAUUGUAAAGCACUUUAAGUUGGGAGGAAGGGCAGUAAGUUAAUACCUUGCUGUUUUGACGUUACCAACAGAAUAAGCACCGGCUAACUUCGUG